rnacentral:rRNA from 1 species
CAAUAGCGUAUAUUAAAGUUGUUGCAGUUAAAAGCUCGUAGUUGGAUUUCGAACCGGGCCAGUUGGUCCGCCGCAAGGUGAGUUACUGACUGGUCUGUUCUUCUUCGCAAAGACUGCGUGUUCUCUUUGUUGAGUGGGCGUAGGAUUUACGACGUUUACUUUGAAAAAUUAGAGUGUUCAAAGCAGGCUAUCGCUUGAAUACAUGAGCAUAGAAUAAUGGAAUAGGACUUUGGUCCUAUUUUGUUGGUUUCUAGGACCGAAGUAAUGAUUAAGAGGGACAAUUGGGGCAGUCCGCUAUUUCGUUGUCAGAGGUGAAAUUCUUGAAAGACGAACAACUGCGAAAGCACUUGCCAAGAGUGUUUUCAUUAAUCAAGAACGAAAGUUAAAGGAUCGAAGACGAUUAGAUACCA